rnacentral:misc_RNA from 1 species
GAUGAAGAACGCAGCGAAAUGCGAUAAGUAAUGUGAAUUGCAGAAUUCAGUGAAUCAUCGAAUCUUUGAACGCACAUUGCGCCCGCCAGCAUUCUGGCGGGCAUGCCUGUUCGAGCGUCAUUACAACCCUCAGGCCCCCGGGCCUGGCGUUGGGGAUCGGCGGAAGCCCCCUGCGGGCACAACGCCGUCCCCCAAAUACAGUGGCGGUCCCGCCGCAGCUUCCAUUGCGUAGUAGCUAACACCUCGCAACUGGAGAGCGGCGCGGCCACGCCGUAAAACACCCAACUUCUGAAUGUUGACCUCGAAUCAGGUAGGAAUACCCGCUGAACUUAAGCAUAUCAAUAAGCGGAGGA